GUAGGCUACCGUAGUGCACUCGGUAGCAGCUUUAGAGUUCCAGGGCAGCCGUCCAUAGGGUGUACUGUGUUAUGUGCCCCCUCCAUCUCUAGGGCCAGGUUCACCACGGAUUAGGCCAAAAGACCCAAAAUCCUUCAGUUAGCUAAGCCUUGAAAAGGACCAUUGUGGCUACUUCUAGGAAGCUCGGCGCAAACCAUUGUGCAUUUAGUUAUACUAGGGUAGCCCGGUUCAUCCACAUCUGGAUAUUCGAAGUGUAGAGUUUAUCUUCCCGCUUUUGAGAGCAGACCCAUGUGGGUGUCGAGGAAUUGGUUUACCCUCUUGCAUUGGAAAGCAUGGUUAGUCCCUUAGAGGGGUGCAAUUCCUCCGAUGAGUCCCUAAGAAGGGCGCAGUCUUUUUUUAAAGUGCAUGAGUGAUCAGUUGUUGUAGACAUGUAGUCGAGGCAAGUUGUAAAUUACUUCUGAAUUCCUGAUUGAAAAACAAGUGGCACGAACAAAAACUUAGCUGUAAAGUAGAGAUUGCAUAACAACUGGAUAAUCUUCUAUUCGUGAGGUGGUGCUCGUUGAGCUGCUCAAGUUCUUCGGGCUUUGAUGUAGCGGGAGGUCACAUAUGGUACUUUCUGAGAUUGUAGGCGUUCCACUGCUUUUGGAUCUCUUUGUCGUUCAUGGUGGUGAGGGUGUAAUUAACCUUAUCGCCU
rnacentral:lncRNA from 1 species